AUACGGAGGGUCCAAGCGUUAUCCGGAUUCACUGGGCGUAAAGGACGCGUAGGCGGGUUGGCAAGUCAGAUGUGAAAUCCUACAGCUUAACUGUAGAACUGCAUUUGAAACUGCUAACCUAGAGUAUGGGAGGGGGAGAUGGAAUUAGUGGUGUAGGGGUAAAAUCCGUAGAUAUCACUAGGAAUACCGAAAGCGAAGGCGAUCUCCUGGAACAUAACUGACGCUAAGGCGUGAAAGCGUGGGGAGCAAACAGGAUUAGAAACCCUAGUAGUCC
rnacentral:rRNA from 1 species